GAUGAACGCUGGCGGCGUGCCUAAUACAUGCAAGUCGAGCGAACUGACGAGAAGCUUGCUUCUCUGAUGUUAGCGGCGGACGGGUGAGUAACACGUGGAUAACCUACCUAUAAGACUGGGAUAACUUCGGGAAACCGGAGCUAAUACCGGAUGAUAUUUUGAACCGCAUGGUUCAAAAGUGAAAGACGGUCUUGCUGUCACUUAUAGAUGGAUCCGCGCUGCAUUAGCUAGUUGGUAAGGUAACGGCUUACCAAGGCAACGAUGCAUAGCGGACCUGAGAGGGUGAGCUGCCACACGGGAAGUGAGAAAAGGACCAGACUCCUAAGGAAGGAACAAGUAGGGAAUAUUCCGCAAGGGGCUAAAGACUGACAGAGCAAGGCCGCGUGAGGGAUGAAGGAUGUCGGAUAGGAAAACUCUGUUAUCAGGGAAGAACAUAUGUGUAAGUAACUGUGCACAUCUUGACGGUACCUAAUCAGAAAGACACGGCUAAAUCCGUG
rnacentral:rRNA from 1 species